rnacentral:rRNA from 1 species
UACGGAGGAUGCGAGCGUUAUCCGGAUUUAUUGGGUUUAAAGGGUGCGUAGGCUGUUUUGUAAGUCAGCGGUGAAAGACCGGGGCCCAACUCCGGAAGUGCCGUUGAUACUGCAUUGCUAGAGUUCCCCUGCCGUGGGAGGAAUGAGUGGUGUAGCGGUGAAAUGCAUAGAUAUCACUCAGAACACCGAUUGCGAAGGCAUCUCACGAAGAGGCAACUGACGCUGAGGCACGAAAGCGUGGGGAUCAAACAGGAUUAGAUACC